AAAAAAGAAAGAAGGAAAAAGAAUUUGGGGAAAAAGUCAUCUCGAGUCCUCUCCUUUUUUUUUCUUUUUUUUUUUUUUU
rnacentral:ribozyme from 14 species